rnacentral:rRNA from 1 species
CUCUUAGAUGUUCUGGGCCGCACGCGCGCUACACUGAUGCAUUCAACGAGUCUAAAACCUGGUCUGAUAGGGCUGGGUAAUCUUUUGAAUGUGCAUCGUGAUUGGGAUAGAUGAUUGCAAUUCUUCAUCUUCAACGAGGAAUGCCUAGUAAACGCAAGUCAUCAGCUUGCAUUGAUUACGUCCCUGCCCUUUGUACACACCGCCCGUCGCUCCUACCGAUUGAAUGUUCCGAUGAAUACCAUGGACUGAGAGUAUGAAUGGGUUCGCCUAUUUCUGCUUCUCGGGAAGUGGAGUAAAUCUUAACAUUUAGAGGAAGGAGAAGUCGUAACA